AUUGAACGCUGGCGGAAUGCUUUACACAUGCAAGUCGAACGGUAGAGGGGGCAACCCCUCGAGAGUGGCGAACGGGUGAGUAAUAUAUCGGAACGUGCCACGUAGUGGGGGAUAACGUAGCGAAAGUUACGCUAAUACCGCAUACGAUCUAAGGAUGCAAGCGGGGGAUCGCAAGACCUCGCGCGAUUGGAGCGGCCGAUAUCAGAUUAGGUAGUUGGUGGGGUAAAGGCUAACCAAGCCAACGAUCUGUAGCUGGUCUGAGAGGACGACCAGCCACACUGGAACUGAGACACGGUCCUGACUCCUACGGGAGGCAGCAGUGGGGAAUUUUGGACAAUGGACGCAAGUCUGAUCCAGCCAUUCCGCGUGCAGGAUGAAGGCCCUCGGGUUGUAAACUGCUUUUGUACGGAACGAAAAGGUCUCUCUUAAUACGGGGGACUCAUGACGGUACCGUAAGAAUAAGCACCGGCUAACUACGUGCCAGCCGCCGCAGUAAAAC
rnacentral:rRNA from 1 species